AGUGAACGCUGGCGGUAGGCCUAACACAUGCAAGUCGAACGGCAGCACAGUAAGAGCUUGCUCUUACGGGUGGCGAGUGGCGGACGGGUGAGGAAUACAUCGGAAUCUACUUUUUCGUGGGGGAUAACGUAGGGAAACUUACGCUAAUACCGCAUACGACCUACGGGUGAAAGCAGGGGAUCUUCGGACCUUGCGCGAUUGAAUGAGCCGAUGUCGGAUUAGCUAGUUGGCGGGGUAAAGGCCCACCAAGGCGACGAUCCGUAGCUGGUCUGAGAGGAUGAUCAGCCACACUGGAACUUAGACACGGUCCAGACCCCUACGGGAGGCAGCAGUGGGGAAUAUUGGACAAUGGGCGCAAGCCUGAUCCAGCCAUACCGCGUGGGUGAAGAAGGCCUUCGGGUUGUAAAGCCCUUUUGUUGGGAAAGAAAAGCAGCAGGUUAAUACCCCGCUGUUCUGACGGUACCCAAAGAAUAAGCACCGGCUAACUUCGUG
rnacentral:rRNA from 1 species